AUGGAGACCCUACGCCUGCUCAGGUUGCUCUAUGUUAGUAGCAGAAGAACCCGAAGCAACAGAAUAUCUUGUAGCAAUGGAACAACGACACCAGUGAUGGACUCCACUCCGCAAGGACUCUUGCUGGAACGUGAUCUGGCUUGCACGAACGGUAACCUCAACAAGCAAUCAAUCACGGCAUCACCUGCAAUCUGGCAUGACAUGCCAGGUCAGUACAUUGAAUGUACUUUCAAGCUCACAGCAACCAAAAGCAAUCAAGACAAACAACAUCAUGGCAUUUACAGGUUUAACAUUGAUGAGCAUGAUACAACAUGGCAUGUACAUGGCGAACAAGAUACCACUAGAACAAUAUCAGAUGAGCAUGGCAUGAACAUGUUGAACAUAACACAUCUAGCAUCACAUGAAAUGAGCAUGGCAAGGUUACUCAUGAUAUGCACAAGAUGA
rnacentral:rRNA from 1 species